rnacentral:rRNA from 1 species
UACGGGAGGCAGCAGUAAGGAAUAUUGGUCAAUGGAGGGAACUCUGAACCAGCCAUGCCGCGUGCAGGAAGACGGCCCUACGGGUUGUAAACUGCUUUUGUACGGGAAUAAAGGCGGGUAUGUAUACCUGAUUGAAUGUACCGUAAGAAUAAGGAUCGGCUAACUCCGUGCCAGCAGCCGCGGUAAUACGGAGGAUCCGAGCGUUAUCCGGAAUUAUUGGGUUUAAAGGGUGCGUAGGCGGAUAGAUAAGUCAGUGGUGAAAGACGGUGGCUCAACCAUCGCAGUGCCGUUGAUACUGUUUGUCUUGAAUAUGGAUGAGGUAGGCGGAAUGUGGCAAGUAGCGGUGAAAUGCAUAGAUAUGCCACAGAACACCGAUUGCGAAGGCAGCUUACCAAGGCAAAAUUGACGCUGAGGCACGAAAGCGUGGGGAGCAAACAGGAUUAGAUACCCUGGUAGUCCACGCC